UGAGACAACUGAAUUAACUUUAUUGUUUCUUCUAACUGCAGAUUCAAGGUAUACAACUGAACAUUGCUAUUUUCCUUAUGAGACUUAUAAAUAAAAAUACAAAAAAUGUCCACUACAAAAAAAUCUACUGUUAGUAGGAUGUAAAAAAUAUUCUCUUUGCUAUAGAAGGCACGAACUUCACUUAGUGACACAUGGAGAGAAAAAAACCUGCAGCAGUAUAUUCUUUUUUUUUUCCUUUUUUUUUUUUUUCUUUUCUUUUUUUUCCUCUGUCAGAAACACUGAAGUUUUACAAAGAAAUGCAUCUGAAUCUACACAGAAUGAAGGCAGAUGCGGAGAGCUGCAACUAGGAGACACCACAACUCGGGACUUAUUUUUUUUUUUAUUCAUUUUUUCAGGAAAUUUUUAGCUAACUGCAUCUGUGGCUAGAGAACAGAUAGGACUCGCAAGCAGUACUGCAAAGGAACAAACAGCGAGGAAACAGAAUUGUACAAAAAAAAAAGUAGUAACCCAUACUCUGAAGAAACAAAAAACAAAAAAUUGGGCACCUUCUAAAAUGAGGCUACCAGGAGGUGCUGAGGUAGACGGAACUAUAACAUCAAUUAAUUCCAAACACUAGUUUUAAUACAGAGCAAUCAGACUGGCACUUGGGCUGUCACGACAUAAAAGACAAGCGAUGAAAGAAAGCCUUAGUUUGCUUGGUCCAGCAGGGCAGUUGGUCCUCAGUGCUAUAAUAUACAUAUAUAUACUUAUAUAUAUAUGGAUAGGUGUCAUGGAGCUUAACCAUGGCUUCGCAGCCUUAGAAGUUCAUGCAUACGUAACACUAUGUGAAACAAAUACUAGGAUGUGCACUCAAACACUGGGACUGGGUGUGGGAGAGGCACCGUGCUAUGCUGCACUGCCCAACAUGGGGACAUACUGGCAUGGCACAGCAUCUGGGCAACCCAUCAUCAGACACAGCCUUGCAGUGACUCUGCUCGUGCUGUUUGGGAGCCAACGGGAAUCCCGAUUCACAUUCUGCACCAUGCUGAGCUCUGAAGCCAAACGAUGCCAAUGUCUGUGUUAGGGGAGGAAGGGGACAGUGAGAGGGGAGGGAACAUAAAAGCAACAAAAGCCACGUGAGCUCAGCUGAGCGCUCAGCAGUACCAUGACACCCACGACCAGCAGUACCAAUUCACUGCAAAAAGGUACCAUAUACUUGUGAGAAAUUGCAGCAACCGUUUAUGUGAAAGAACUGGUGUGUUGUUUUGUUGUUGUUGUUGGUUGUGUGUAUGUGUGUGUUUCUCUUUAGGCACAAAGAUUAAACAAGCCAUUCUCCAAAGUUACAUCCUGGAUUGUACUACAUCAGCAUCUGCCCCGCUUCACCUCCUCGGCGCGGAGCAGCCAAAGUGCCACUGCUCGCAGGUGCACACGGGGCAUUGCUGCACGGUGCUCUGCACGGACAGACCCUCCCAGCAGCACCACCACGGCUCAGGG
rnacentral:lncRNA from 1 species